rnacentral:rRNA from 1 species
AGGACGAACGCUGGCGGCGUGCCUAACACAUGCAAGUCGAACGAGGCCACUCCUUCGGGAGUGAGUCGAGUGGCGGACGGGUGAGUAACACGUGAGCAAUCUACCCUUGUGCGGGGGAUAACCCGGGGAAACCCGGGCUAAUACCGCAUGGUCAAGAGAUCCGAUGGGUCUUUGGGAAACGUGGCCUCUUUAC